UACGGGGGGGGCAAGCGUUGUUCGGAAUUACUGGGCGUAAAGGGCGCGUAGGCGGUUUGCUAAGUUGGAUGUGAAAACUCUGGGCUUAACCCAGAGCCUGCAUCCAAAACUGGCGAACUGGAGUACUGGAGGGGAAAGCGGAAUUCCUGGUGUAGCGGUGAAAUGCGUAGAUAUCAGGAGGAACACCGGUGGCGAAGGCGGCUUUCUGGACAGUAACUGACGCUGAGGCGCGAAAGCUAGGGGAGCAAACAGG
rnacentral:rRNA from 1 species